rnacentral:rRNA from 1 species
UACGUAGGGUGCAAGCGUUAAUCGGAAUUACUGGGCGUAAAGCGUGCGCAGGCGGUUUUGUAAGUCUGAUGUGAAAUCCCCGGGCUCAACCUGGGAAUUGCAUUGGAGACUGCUAGGCUAGAAUCUGGCAGAGGGGGGUAGAAUUCCACGUGUAGCAGUGAAAUGCGUAGAGAUGUGGAGGAACACCGAUGGCGAAGGCAGCCCCCUGGGUCAAGAUUGACGCUCAUGCACGAAAGCGUGGGGAGCAAACAGG